rnacentral:tRNA from 1 species
GGUCCCGUAGUGUAGCGGUUUAUCACGUCGCCCUGUCACCGCGAAGAUCGCGGGUUCGACUCCCGUCGGGACCG